UAUUAAAAUUUUGCAAUAAGAACAAGAAGAUACUAUUCGCGAUACAAAAUGAAUAAGCCGCGAAUAAUAAGGUUCGCGAGAGAAAUUAUAUAUAAUACUUUUACCGACCAUGUCUAGCUGAACAAGAAGCAAAACAAUUCUAUCGGAUCUGGAAGCAUAUGUGAGUGCGUUUCAAGACAUAACCGAAGAUGAUUGGAAAAUCUCAUGUCAACAUGUAAGAAAAAUUUAAAAUGACUAUUACAAGAGAGAACAUACCCUGUAAGAGGACAUUGAAAGAAUUAUAAUAAAUCUUAAAGAUGACAGUAGUAGUUCUUCAGAAUCACAGGAUGACUGUCCAGCCAGCUCCAGUCAUGAAAAUAUGGACAUUGAUUUUACUGAAAUACAAUAUUUGGAAGAAA